AGUGAAUGCUGGCGGUAGGCCUAACACAUGCAAGUCGAACGGCAGCACAGUAAGAGCUUGCUCUUACGGGUGGCGAGUGGCGGACGGGUGAGGAAUACAUCGGAAUCUACUUUUUCGUGGGGGAUAACGUAGGGAAACUUACGCUAAUACCGCAUACGACCUACGGGUGAAAGCAGGGGAUCUUCGGACCUUGCGCGAUUGAAUGAGCCGAUGUCGGAUUAGCUAGUUGGCGGGGUAAAGGCCCACCAAGGCGACGAUCCGUAGCUGGUCUGAGAGGAUGAUCAGCCACACUGGAACUGAGACACGGUCCAGACGCCUACGGGAGGCAGCAGUGGGGAAUAUUGGACAAUGGGCGCAAGCCUGAUCCAGCCAUACCGCGUGGGUGAAGAAGGCCUUCGGGUUGUAAAGCCCUUUUGUUGGGAAAGAAAAGCAGCAGGUUAAUACCCCGCUGUUCUGACGGUACCCAAAGAAUAAGCACCGGCUAACUUCGUG
rnacentral:rRNA from 1 species